rnacentral:rRNA from 1 species
UUUAAGUGAAGAGUUUGAUCCUGGCUCAGAGUGAACGCUGGCGGUAGGCCUAACACAUGCAAGUCGAACGGCAGCACAGGAGAGCUUGCUCUCUGGGUGGCGAGUGGCGGAC